GAUGAACGCUGGCGGCGUGCCUAAUACAUGCAAGUCGAGCGAACGGACGAGAAGCUUGCUUCUCUGAUGUUAGCGGCGGACGGGUGAGUAACACGUGGAUAACCUACCUAUAAGACUGGGAUAACUUCGGGAAACCGGAGCUAAUACCGGAUAAUAUUUUGAACCGCAUGGUUCAAAAGUGAAAGACGGUCUUGCUGUCACUUAUCGAUGGAUCCGCGCUGCAUUAGCUAGUUGUUAAGGUAACGGCUUACCAAGGCAACGAUGCAUAGCCGACCUGAGAGGGUGAUCGGCCACACUGGAACUGAGACACGGUCCAGACGCCUACGGGAGGCAGCAGUAGGGAAUCUUCCGCAAUGGGCGAAAGCCUGACGGAGCAACGCCGCGUGAGUGAUGAAGGUCUUCGGAUCGUAAAACUCUGUUAUUAGGGAAGAACAUAUGUGUAAGUAACUGUGCACAUCUUGACGGUACCUAAUCAGAAAGCCACGGCUAACUACGUG
rnacentral:rRNA from 1 species